AUUCCCCUAGUAUUAAUAGUACAGCUGACUUCCAAUCAGCUAGUCUCGGUAAAACCCCGAGGAGGAAUA
rnacentral:tRNA from 1 species